GGCUCGGUAGCUUAGUUGGUAAAGCGCUCGUCUAGCAUACAAGAGUCCUGGGUUUGGAUCUCAGUCGAGCAC
rnacentral:tRNA from 1 species